CUUUUCUCUCAGUGUACUAUGUGCUAAGAUCAAAAGUGUAGUAUCUGUUCUUAUCAGCUUAAUAUCUGAUACAACCCUCCCAUAGGGGGUUCAGACUGUUAAGUGAUUUUUGGUAACAGGCGGGUACCUCGAAGCUUGCUUCGGUCCUACCAAUGGUCGUUCUGGCACUGCACUACACUGAGAGAAAAGACUGGUAGUAA